CUUAUAUUCCCUCCAUCCGGAAAUAUUUGUCCUAAAAAUGAAUAAAAUGGAUGUAUCUAUAACUAAAAUAAGUCUAGAUACAACCAUUUCAAGGACAAGUAUUUCCGGACGGAGGGAGUAUUUA
rnacentral:pre_miRNA from 1 species